rnacentral:tRNA from 1 species
GUGGGUGUAGCUCAGUCGGUUAGAGCGCCAGUUUGUGGUAUUGGAGGUCGAGGGUUCGAGUCCCUCCUCCCACCCCA